UUACAGCUCUGCAGCAGACAGAGGGAGAAGACAGCAUAAUUAAGAAAGAAAUAAUACAAAAUGCUAAUUGAAAGAGAAACAGUAAAGGUGAGGUAUCUGCAGUUUUCUCAGAAAGCCAGACAUCACCGUAUGUACAGCAGACAACUGUGAAAGUGAGACCUCCACUGGACUUUGGAUUUCUCCCAAGGUAAACGGUGACGGGCCAGUGCGACCCUAGGUAAAUGAUAAUGUUCUUGCUACUUGAGAUCUUCUAACCAGGGUGGUAGACAGAGGAGGCAGCUGGAACAAGUGAAGCACGUUCAUGCUGUAACCAUCGUUACCACUCAAAAAGCUGAACGACCCUUUGUAAAUCUGCUUGUAUGAUUUAUUUAAAAGGAUGUUUCCAGUGCUCCGUCUACAUUCUAUGGAUAUUGGUUAAAGUUACAACUGGAUCGGGGGGUUGUUGUGACGUGGUAGCACGGUGCAUACAUUUGCAGUUCAACUUAUCUGGAUACCUUUGCAGAGGAAUACGUGGCUUACAGUCAUAGACUGUGUUAUCAGAUGUUUGUGUCAGAAGGAAUAUUGUGAGGAACUGGGUGACUGAGAAUGGCUGCAGCUGCUACUUGUCUGCAACAGGACCACAUAACUGGGAGAAAAAGAAUGAAUAUGUACAUACCCAAGGACAAGCUGUAUCCCUGCUUGCACACUACAUGCGACCAUUCAGCUUCUUUUAGAUUAAGGCCUCCUGCACAGGGGUGACAUUCACAUAACAAAACGUCCCGUGCAUCAGAGGAAAAAAAGACUUGAAAGUGUUCAGGAAAUAAAUCAAUUUAUUGUUUCCAGAGUACUUGUUGCAGAGAUGAAACGCAGCUCAGCAUUAAACAGGAUAUGAUAUUGUGCAGUGUUUUUUGUUUUUUUUUCUUUGUUAUAUUAUCCCGUAUAUAACUAUAUUAAACUACAGGGUUUUGCUUUAUUCCCUAUGCCACAGCUGUUUUGCAUCCAAGGUAAUUGUGUUUUAAUGAGAAUACUACAAAUGUUAAUACAAGUAAGCAAAACAAAACAUCUACUUUAUUCUGGUGUUGUAUUAGAAGGUUUAUAUUUUUCAUUUCCAGUGUUGCUGUUGUAAAUACUGUUAGAAUAUAAUGAAAGUAAAUAAUUGACUAAAAUGCUAAAUUUGUUUUAAUUUAAGUCUGUUUUACCCAUUAAAUUGUAGGCAAGUUUUUCUUUCUUAUUUGUAUACCAGACCCAAUUCUUAAUCAGUGUAGACCUUGCUCUGCACCCACGUAAGUCUCCUGCAGCUUUUCUGAUUUAUUAAUUCUCUGUUGGAUUCAACUGCCUCAUAAACUGUUAUGAUUAUUGAAAAGCAAUAUAUUUUGAAAUGUG